rnacentral:lncRNA from 1 species
CUUCACCGCCGCUAGUUGUGUGUGGUGCUGGCAGCGGCGAGGUGGGUAAGGAGCUGAGAUUUGGUGACGAGAGAGAGAGAUUGGGAAUAAAUUUAUUUAUUUUAAUAUUUUUAAUGACAUGGAUUUCAAUGUCGAAAAAUAAAAAUAAAAAAUAGUUUAGUGAUUUGGCAAUUCAACGAGUCAAGUGCGAGUUACAAUUAAUAUAAAUUAGAUAAUUCAAAAUUUAAAAAAAUUGAUAAUUUAAAAUAUAAUUAAUAAUGUAAAAAUAAUUUGAAAUUUAAAGUGAUAUUUUUAUAGGAAUAAGGUUCAAAUACCUUUGUGCGCUUUAAAAUUUAAAAUGAUAUUUACAUAGAGAGAGAUUGUCGUCAUGGAAAUGAAGAAGCAGGUGGCGCCGCUACAGAGGCUGCUCAAGUCGAGGAGGGAGCCGUGAGCACUGGGGCCUAGGGAUGUAAACGAAUGAAAUCAAAGCAAAUAUUAUUAGAUUCAAUUCAUAUUCGUAAAAAUAAUUACAUAUUCAAAUCGAUAUUCGAAUAUCUUCUUAAUCUUAUUUGCUAUUUGUAUUCCAUUCAUACACUGAUCGGAGUUUAUGUCUAUUUAUAUAUUAUAAUGCUUCUAUUAUUUUAUACACUUUUUUUUUAGGGCUAUUAUUUUAUACUCCACUUUAUUACUCCACUCAUUCUUCAUCCUACCUUAUCUCUUAACAAACCACCAUAAGCUAAAAACAAAAACCAGAGCUUAAAAAAAAAAAAACCUGAGCUAAGAAAAGCAUCGCCGGAAAAUGGAGAAAUUCGAGCUAGUAUUCAUCCCAUCUCCGGGGCUGAGCCACCUCACCGCCACCGUUGAGGCGGCCAAGCUCCUCCUCGCCCGCGACGGCCGCCUCUCCAUCACCGUCCUCACCAUGCAGCUCCCCGGCGAUACCGCCGUCGACAGCUACACCGCCAAGAUCUCCGCCUCCUUGCCGCCCCGCCUCGCCCUCACCGCCCUCCCCGGCCUCCCCGACUGGUCCCGGCAGUCCAAAACCUCCCUCUUCGAGUUCAUCGACAACCAGAUCACAAACGUCAGACAAAUCCUCUCAAACUUAAUCGAGCACGAUUCCGGCGAUCACCAUCGGAUCGCCGGAAUCGUGCUCGACAUGUUCUGCCUCAAAUUCAUCGAGGUCGCUCGCGAACUCAACCUACGGUGUUACUGUUUCUUCACCUCAGGUGCGUGCUCAUUAGGUUUAUUUCAAUAUGUAGUCAAUUUGAAAUUCGAGGAGAAUAAGGACCUCUCGGAAUAUAAAAAUUCCGACGCCGAGCUGCCGGUGCCGUGCUUCUCCCUCCCUGUUCCGGCGAAGGUGCUGCCGGCCGUUUUCGUCGACGGCGGCCCGAUGGCCGACGUGUUUUUGAACUAUUUCAAGAGAAUAUCGGAGACGGACGGCGUCGUGUUGAACACAUUCUACGAAUUCGAGCCCUACGCCGUCGAGUCAAUGGCGGCCCGAGGCCCGAAAGUUUAUCCGGUCGGCCCGAUUUUGGACUUGAGCAGCCAAUUUGAUGAAGAUGAUGAUGUGAAGAGAUUUCUCGACGAUCAGCCGGAAAAAUCCGUGGUUUUUUUGUGUUUUGGAACGAUGGGGAGUUUCGCCGGAGCUCAGGCGAGAGAAAUCGCUCUCGCUCUCGAAGGUAGCGGCUGCCGGUUCCUAUGGUCGUUGAGGAAGCCGGCGGCGAAGGGGUCGGGGAAGCUCGUGGAGGAGUACGGCGAUUUCGGGGAGGUUUUGCCGGAGGGGUUCUUGGAGAGGACUAAAGGGGUGGGGAGGGUGAUCGGGUGGGCGGCGCAGGCGGCGACGCUGGCCCACCCGGCGGUCGGGGGAUUUGUUUCGCACUGUGGGUGGAACUCGACUCUGGAGAGCGUGUGGUUCGGGGUGCCCGUGGCGGCUUUCCCGCUCUACGCGGAGCAACAACUGAAUGCGUUUUAUCUGGCGAGGGAGGCGGGGGUGGCGGAGGCGAUUACGUUGGAUUAUAAGAUGGAUUUUAGGGGGGACGGGGAGCCGGAGACCGUGGGGGCCGGGGAGAUCGAGGGGGCGAUACGGCGGGUGAUGGGGGCGGAGGGGGGCGGGGUGAGGGGGAAGGUGGAGGAGAUGGGGAGGAAGGCAAGGGCGGCUUUGGAGGAAGGUGGAUCUUCUUAUAUUGCUCAAAAUCUUUUUAUUCAAGAUGUUGUUGGGAAUAUUGGUUUGUAAUUUAAUUUUAAUGAAGAUUACUAGAAUUGGAAUAUGUACUUGAAAACAAAUGAAACAAUCUUCAAAAUAGAUCUUUGAACAUGUUACAAAUAUAGCAAAUGUUACAUGUUUAAUAGACUUGGAUUAUUAUUAUUUUUUAUUUUUUUUAUAAUAAUGUUAUUUGGACAAAAUAUGAUUAAAUAUUAAAAAAAUAAAUUUAUUUAUAAUUUUUGGUUCGAAGUAAAAAAAAAAUUAAUUAAUUUUAUUUUUUUUCUCCACAUUGUAAUUUUUUAAUAACCUUUUAAAUUUUUGUAAUUUUUAAAGUAUACAAACUACAAAAAAAAAAUUAAAAUUAAAACAAUUGUUAAAAAAAUACAAUAUGGAGAAAACAAUAAAAAUAACUAAUUAAAUUUGAACUAAAUUUUUUAAAGUAUUUAAACAAUUUUUGUCUGGAUAAAUUUUGUCCAAAUAGCACUACUCUUUUUUUUAAAACAUAUUUUAUAUUGAUAAUUAUUUUGUGUCCUCAAUAAAAAACCAUAUCUAGUUCAGUCAUUUCAUCAAACACUUUGCGUUCCAUCUCGAUAUCACAGCAUGGGAAUUGCGAGAGGAAAAAGAUACGAGUGACUUGCCGGAGGUGUCGAUCAGCCGCUUCCUCAACUGCGUGUUGUCCUUCACCGCCGCUAGUCGUGUGUGGCGCCGGCAGCGGCGAGGUGGGUGAGGAGCACAGCCGGAGAGAGAGUUUGGGGAAUUUAAUUUGAAUAUUUUAAUAUAUGACAUGGUUUUCAUGUGAAAAUAAAAAUAAAAAUAAUACAUUUGGCAAUUUAGGGAGUCAAGUGCGAGUUACCAUUAAUACAAAUUCGAUAAUUCAAAAUUUAAAAAAAUAUUUUCGGUGAUUAAAAAUAUACUUCAUCCGUCCACGAAAAAACUUUAUAUUUUUCAUUUUUGGGACGUCCACAAAAAACUUAAGAAUAAAUACUUACGAACUAAUUAUUGCUGUUUGAGAAACCAACGACGUUUGAUUUCGAUGUAUAUUUAUCCAUUGAAAACAGUGCAAAAUCUUUUCGUUAUCAAUUAUUGAGCAAAUAUCUUGAAGAAUUUAGUCACUAUUGGGACCCAUAGAAAAGAAAAAAAAAAAAACAAUAUUUUUAAAGGGCACUAGUGUGUCAUUAAAUGUAAGGAUUUAGUCGACCUAUUUCGAAAAGUCUAGAGUGAAUGUCGAUCACAAACAUAGUUUAGGUCAUAUACGACUUUUAGAGUAAACUUUAGAGGGCUAUUUGGAGUUUAUGCCUAUUUAUAUACUAUAAUGCUUCUAUUAUCAUAUACUUAUAAUUUAUAAUUUUGGUUUCCACUCAUUCUUCAUAUACCUUAUCUCUUAACAAACCACCAUAAUUAAGCUAAAAAAAAAAUACCGAGCUAAGAAAAGCAUAGCCGGAAAAUGGAGAAAUUCGAGCUAGUAUUCAUCCCAUCACCGGGGCUGAGCCACCUCACCGCCACCGUGGAGGCGGCCAAGCUCCUCCUCGCCCGCGACGGCCGCCUCUCCAUCACCGUCCUCACCAUGCAGCUCCCCGGCGACACCUCCGUCGAUACCUACACCGCCAAGAUCUCGGCUGCCGCGCCUCCCCGCCUCGCCUUCGCCGCCCUCCCCGGCCUCCCCGACUGGUCCCGGCAGUCCAAAAC